CAGCUGACACACCUGACUUCAAUAAUCAACUAAUCAUGGUCUUCAGUUUAAAAUGCAAUUAGUUUAAUCAGGUGUGAUAGCAUAUUUUUGUUUUUUUUAUAAAGGGCUGGGGGAAAGUGUGGCACCAAUUAGCCCCUGGGGACUGGAGUUGCCGAUCCCUGAUCUAGGUCUACAUCUGAGCUGGAGUCAUUCUAGAACCACUUACUCAUGUACAUGGUUUACUUUCCUUCCUCUGGUAGAACUUGUAACCAUYGUCCAGCCUCAUGGAAUGCGGAGGGCAACAAUAUCUACAGGAGACUCUACAAUAACAAGUCUCGAAGGUGAAGUGUCUAAGCAUUGACAACUUCAGAGGUCUACUAAACCUAMAUCCCAGAACUUCAGAGAGCAGUGUUAAGAAGUCUGGGCUCUCAAUUGGUGCUACCAAGAAGAAUGACCCUGAGAUCAAAUCAACCAAGACUCCAUGAUGUGCCUCCACCAACAACGGCUGAGCUGCUACAACUUCAAGUAGAUAUCACCACGCAACACAGGAUGCAGUUAGCACACCUUUUGAAUGGGGAAGGAGCUUUCACUCAUGCCAGACUUAGUGGUUCCUGGGAAUGUGUGAAAAUAUUUCUGAGUACUCUGURGGUUGUUGAAAGAGGGUGGCCUACAACCAAACAUGAAUCAUAUGUAAAUAUGGGAAGUUUGUGUGGGCAACAAACUUGUGUAUGAAACAAUAUUUGUGUGUUCUUUAUCUAGCAUAUAGGCAUCAUUAUUGUAAUUUUGAAGUGGUUUUAGAAUUAUUUACUAAACUGGUUUCCUUUAUCUAUGCUCUGGAUGGUUUUCACUUCAAAUUAGCAGACUUACGGUAGGGCACCGAUCUAGAAAAAUGGACUUCCCUGRUGUAAAUACAGUACAAAACAAGUCAGUCAGAUUACACAGAUCAUGUCAAAUAAAUGUUUAUUAGGGAGAUAAACAAC